rnacentral:rRNA from 1 species
UACGGAGGGGGGCUAGCGUUGUUCGGAAUUACUGGGCGUAAAGCGCACGUAGGCGGCUUUGCAAGUUAGAGGUGAAAGCCCGGGGCUCAACUCCGGAAUUGCCUUUAAAACUGCAUCGCUAGAAUUGUGGAGAGGUAAGUGGAAUUCCGAGUGUAGAGGUGAAAUUCGUAGAUAUUCGGAAGAACACCGGUGGCGAAGGCGGCGACCUGGUCCAUUACUGACGCUGAGGCGCGACAGCGUGGGGAGCAAACAGG